rnacentral:ncRNA from 1 species
CAACGAAAAAGGCAAACCUUCGGAAACGAAGUGACGCAAAGCUACAGGGGCUACCUCUGCAGAUUUCGGUCUGCGGAUAUGCCAGCCAGCUACCGUG